rnacentral:tRNA from 1 species
AGAAACUUAGGAUAAUCCUUUAAACCGAAGGCCUUCAAAGCCUUAGACAAGAGUUAGACCCUCUUAGUUUCUG